rnacentral:lncRNA from 1 species
ACGGAAUCCAGUCUUAUAUCGUUUGAAAUUACAACUGAACCUAUUCCAACCACUUUAGAGAGGGACCCAUCAGCAAUACGAAUAGUAUAAUUUUCGUGACAUGGGCUGUAUUUGUGGAACACAGUUGUGUCUCCAGUCAUGUGAUCUGAUGCCCCCGAAUCAACAAUCCAUCUGCUUGCUUUCUUUUUAUUAACUAAAAGAGCAUCCGAGAGUUUACCUUUUUCUGCCAACGAACCUGUCCCGAUGAUUGAAGAUUCUAUAUUUUGUUGAGAAGAUUAGCUUAUCAGUUUUUGCAGGAUUUCCAAUUGUUCUUUGCUGAACAGGCUUGACUGGGAUACGUCUGGGUUCUUGCUAAUUGAGGCCAGGUUUCCACGUCCUUCUCUAUCAUCGUACGGUCGGGACGGUUUCCAAUCAGGAGGUUUCCCAUGAAGCUUCCAACAAGUCGCCUUUGUGUGUUCCAAUCAUCGGCAAUGGUCGCACCAUGGCCUUUCCUUUUUCUGACGAUUAUUAUUGUUGGCAAAUUGAGUUCCUCGGGCGGCAAGUGUAGAAGUCUCAAGCGUUGGUGUGGUGUUAUAUGAUCCCAUCAUCACCUUUUUUCUACUCACCUCUUGACGAACUUCUGAGAAUGCAAUCCGAAUGUCGGGAACGGGUUUUGUCCCUAGUACACGUCCCAUAACUUCAUCAAUAUUUUUGUUGAUACCUAGAAGGAAUUUGAAAAUUCGUUUCUUUUCAACAAAUUUUUUGUACUUAAGUUCAUCUUGUGGGCAGGACCACUCAAUUUCUUCAUACAUGUCUAGGUAUUGCCAAUAACAAGUGAGUGUACUGAAAUAUUGAGUGACUAUGAGAUCUGCUUGAUGUGGGUUAUAGAGGAGGGUUUCUAUUUCAAACAAUGCGGCUGUGUUCUCGUCGUUUGAAUAUGUCUCUUUGGCUGUGUCCCAGAUUUCUUUUGCAGUCCCAUACAACAAGAAAUUUUCUCCUAUCUCGUUGGUCAUGGAGUUCAUCAACCACGACAUCACUAGGUUAUUUUUUGUUUCCUAGAUCUUGAAUUUGGGAUCUUCCUUUGUUGGUUGAAUAGCUGCACCGGUGAGGUAGUCAUCUUUUCCUUGUCCACAUAUGAACAUCAUCACCGACUGGGACCAUUGAAGGAAAUUAUGGCCAUUCAAUUUGUGUCCAGUGAUUGGGAAAAGAAAGCCUUUUGAUCCUCCAUUAUGGCUUGCAACUGCAACUUCUGGAUUGAAGGCGACUUCGGUAGAAUUAGAAUGUUGUCUCUCAGUUGCCAUGCGGUAUUUGGUCAUGAGUGGAAUUCAGAUAUUCAGAGUAAUGGCUCUGAUACCAUGUGAAAUGCUAAGAGAGAAUUUUUGUUAUUCUUAUUCACUGAAUGAAGUAAAACAUACUGUUAAAUACAUACAGGCAGCCAAUUAAGACUCCCAUUAAUUUUGGUACAUACCAAAUUAUUCAUCUACUAAGCUAGGAAAAACUAAUUAGAGAGAAAUUAGGUAACAACUUACCUAAAUUCUCAUUUAACAUAAAAUAGUAUAAAACAGCUAAGUAUGGAAAAUAUUCCUAGAUCCUAGGAUUAACCUUAAUUGGAAUCUCUACACCUAUA